GAUUUGGUGCUAAUAAAAGUGCAGGUGAAGAUUUCUACACCAAACGAAAGAUCAAUAGUUUUGACAUCCAUUGCACGUGCACGACACAAAGAAAAUUGCACCAAAUUCCUCGCUUACGAAAAACGAAGUCGUUCUCCACGAUACGAAUCGGCAAGAUAGAUCACAAAGCACAGGAUUAGGCAAUUUGCUUGUCAACCAACUUCCCCUCGCCAUUUGCACAAAUAAAGGCUUCCAAAGCAAAGUCGCAUUCCUCUGAAACCACGAGACAAACCAGAAAAGAAUACGGAGGUGAGUCAAUCAAUAUAAACCAUCAAUCACCUUCCC